UAUAUUAUAUUAAUAUAUAUACGUAUUUUUCUCAUCAAACCCUAACCUAAGGCUUCCCUCUUUCAUAUUCGCUGCUACCGGUGCCGCCGCCUGCCGAUCUCAGUGCCGCCGCAUCCUUUUAAAGUUUCUCAAGGUUUCUAAUCUGCUGCAUUUAACUCAUUUGUGAGAAUGGCUUCACGUUUCUAGAUAUCCCAGGGUGGCAGCGACUCCAAGGAGGAAGAGAGUGCUUAGGUGUCUGUUGUAGCAGCUCAAGUGUCUUUUAGCCGAGAAGCCAAAAAGAUUUCACUUACCCAAAAUAAUCAAUGGCUCCUUUGAUGACCUCCCAAGCCAUCCUCGUCCGAAGCCCACUCCUCCUCCCACCGCCAAACCUGAAACCCAUCUUCCAUAACCCCCGAAAUCCUUUCUCUCUCCGCCUCGCCACUAAAUGUAACCCUACCCUUGUCCUCACUUCCGCUUCUGCUUCUUCCUCUCCUCUCCCCACUCUACCCCCACAAACCCCAAAAAUCCUGUCUCAGUCUGCAAUCACCCAAAUCCUCACUACCGUCUCAGGCAUAGCCUUAUUCUUCGCAACCCUCACCCACAAACUAAUCGCAAAACUCUCUCCCAAAAUCACUGAACAAGUCUGCCUACAAAGCAACUUAGUCAGCACGGUUGGGCCGCUAUUCUUUGCCGCGCUAAAGGAUCGACCCUCCGGGUACCUGAACACGCCGCUGACGGUGGUGGCGGCAGGCUUGGCCAAGUGGCUUGACAUCUACAGUGGGGUUUUGAUGGUUAGGGUUUUGCUCAGCUGGUUCCCCAACAUUCCCUGGGAGCGUCAGCCCUUAUCGGCGAUUCGGGACUUGUGCGAUCCCUAUUUGAAUCUCUUCCGGAAUAUAAUCCCACCAAUAUUCGAUACACUGGACGUAAGCCCGCUUUUGGCUUUCGCGGUGUUGGGCACUCUUGGGUCCAUUCUUAAUAGCAGUAGGGGUAUGUAUUGAAGAAGAGAGGAUUGCUGGGUUUCCUUGGUUCAUGAUUGGGGAAAAGUGAAUGUGAAGGAUUGACUUUUGGGACUGCAGAUAACUAUAUGGAUCGCUUUCAAAUGCCCAUGGGUUGCUGGAAAAUAUCUACCAUGUCUACCUAUACCAGCAAUUUCUUAAAUUGAUUCUUCAGAGUACUCGCUGUUCUCAGAGUUGAAUAGAUUGUAAGCAGCUUUCAUGAAAAUUGUCGUCUGUAUCUUCCCACAGCACAAGAAAAUCCAUAACAUUUAUGUACAUCUUGCCAGCAUACGCACGGUGAACCUAGGCAUAAAACCCCUAGUUUUUUUCCAAAGGAAACAGUUUUUCACCCCUAAGUUUGAUUGUUCUCUUUGUUGAGAAAAACUUGGAGCACUCCCCAAUGUCUUGGCCAUUUUCUCAUUUCAGUUAUACAAUAUGUAUUUUGCAUUUUUCAUCCUUUUGUGAACAGUGGCGUGUCACUGUCCACCCAUCUGUUUUCUUUAUUGAUUUCUCUCUCCCUCUUCAA